CCCUUAGAUGUCCUGGGCCGCACGCGCGUUACACUGAUGCAUUCAACGAGCUUAUAACCUUGGCCGAGAGGCCUGGGCAAUCUUGUUAACGUGCAUCGUGAUAGGGAUAGAUUAUUGAAAUUAUUAAUCUUCAACGAGGAAUUCCUAGUAAGUGCGAAUCAUCAGUUCGCGCUGAUUACGUCCCUGCCCUUUGUACACACCGCCCGUCGCUCCUACCGAUUGAGUGGUCCGGUGAAUAAUUCGGACUGAGGAUUUAGGCAGUUUCUGUCUUUAUCUUCGGGAAGUCUAGUGAACCUUAUCACUUAGAGGAAGGAGAAGUCGUAACA
rnacentral:rRNA from 1 species